CUUCCUCACAUCAGACAAAAAAAAGAGGAGAGAAAGGAACCGCCAGCUCCUCCAUGCCGUGUCCUCCUCCACGCAGUGACCGUGGGCUACUGUUCGGGGAGGUGGCGAUGACUUCGACGGUAACAUCUGGAUAGCUGGCGAUGCUGGAUGCAGCUCACCAAUGGCCCGGUUAACCAAACAAAUAAAAAAAGGGGGGGGGAGGGGUUGUUCGAUCCCAUCUUGACUGGCA
rnacentral:lncRNA from 1 species